rnacentral:lncRNA from 1 species
UCUGUGAUCUUACUUUACACCUGUCAAUCAUUCAAUUGUUGUUAAUAAGAGUGUCCACUAAAUUGGCCUUAUGGCUAUAAAUGGAACUUACUCUAAAAGGGAACAACAAGACUUGACCCUCUUGUACCUCUCAAUAUGUGUUUGAUUUGAACUUAAAACCAAAAAGAUGAGGUUGGUCAUACUUGAGAGGAUCGAAUCGUGCAAGGAAACCUCAAGAGAAAAAGGAAGAGGCCGUAGGAGAUACGUGACUAUAUCCU